UACGUAGGGGGCGAGCGUUGUCCGGAAUUAUUGGGCGUAAAGAGCGUGUAGGCGGUUCGGUAAGUCUGCUGUGAAAUCCUGGGGCUCAACCCCGGGCGUGCAGCGGAUACUGCCGGGCUAGAGGGUGGUAGAGGCGAGUGGAAUUCCCGGUGUAGCGGUGAAAUGCGUAGAGAUGGGGGAGAACACUCGUGGCGAAGGCGGCCAGCUAGACCAGUUCUGACACUGAGGCGCGACAGCGUGGGGAGCAAACAGG
rnacentral:rRNA from 1 species